rnacentral:tRNA from 1 species
AGGGAGACCUACCUUGGGGCAUCUGAGGGGAGUUAGACCACCCUCAGGCCAGCAAAGGUUAUCCCAGGUCGGUCGGGGUUGAAGGGAUGGUUGACUGGGGUUCUGGGGGAGAGCCAAGGGAAGGGCUAUUAGCUCAGGUGGUUAGAGCGCACCCCUGAUAAGGGUGAGGUCCCUGGUUCGAGUCCAGGAUGGCCCACUGUUUGUCCUGGAGAAGGGAGAGCCAGCAAGCUAGAAGCGAGCUGGCCAAGCUGAGGGCAAAGCCAGAGGGUGGGUGCAGUCUGGAUUGGGGGUAUAGCUCAGCUGGUAGAGCGCUGCCUUUGCACGGCAGAAGUCAGCGGUUCGAGUCCGCUUGCCUCCACC